GGGUGUUAACCUGAAGUCAUCUUUUUUGGACAAGACAAGAUGAAGAACAUCCUGGUAAAAAUACGAUUCAAGAUGCUCCUGAGCCUCCUUCCUGCACCAAGGAUCUCAACAUCAAAAGAUAGAUAGACAAGUAGACAGAGGUGACGGGAAAGGACAGAAACAAGAGAUCCCCAUUUUAGAAGAUUUUCAGCUGAAAUUUGUCUGCAGCUUGAAAGAUUCUCAAGAAGCUACUGUUGCGAGUUUUCCACCAUUCUAAUUGUUUGCAAUUCAGUUGCUGAAGAAUGUGGAUUUUUUUAAAGCCUGUGGGAAGAAUUUAA